GAUCAACUCCGGGUCUUCGAUGCGGCUCCGUGCUGCACAUGCGCUGAGCCCAGAGACGGAAGAGCGCCGCCGCCGCCAUGAAGCCGUUCUUCAGGCGCUGGGCGCAGCCGCUGCUGUUCGGGACGAUGGCGGUGGGGCUGGCGAGCGCUUUUGUCUACAGGCGCAGUUUUUUCCAAGAUAUUGAAGAGAUCCGAGCGAGAGAGCACCAGAAAUACAAUGAGAAGUUGCAGAUGGUUCUGGAACGAAGGGAGAGGCAGCUGCUGGAAAUAGACCAGAAGAAAUCAUCCCGGUGAGCUUGGCAAUGAGCUGAACGUUGCCAGUGUAUAUAGUGGCUAUAAAUCCUGCUCCAGGGAACUAACUGCAACCAGGCACGAUGUGCGGUCUGGCAUCUGGACUGGACAAUUAGACUAAAAACAGGAGCAAUGGUCCAAAAUGCAGAUAGUGAAUUGCGCCUUAAAGGAUUACACUAAAUUAAUUAUGUGUUUCUACAUUGUACACUAUGUUGUAAUAAAUCAAUUAUGAGUAUUAUGUUAA